rnacentral:rRNA from 1 species
CAGUCGAGGGGCAGCGGGGAGCAAGCUUGCUUGCUCUGCCGGCGACCGGCGCACGGGUGAGUAACACGUAUGCAACCUGCCCUCCGCAGGGGGAUAACCCGGAGAAAUCCGGACUAAUACCGCGUGGUACACCAGUGGGGCAUCCCACGGGUGUUAAAAGGAAGUGAUUCCGGCGGAGGAUGGGCAUGCGGCGCAUUAGCUAGUUGGCGGGGUAACGGCCCACCAAGGCGACGAUGCGUAGGGGUUCUGAGAGGAAGGUCCCCCACACUGGUACUGAGACACGGACCAGACUCCUACGGGAGGCAGCAGUGAGGAAUAUUGGUCAAUGGGCGGGAGCCUGAACCAGCCAAGUCGCGUGAGGGAAGACGGUCCUAUGGAUUGUAAACCUCUUUAGGCGGGGAGCAAUGCCGGGCACGCGUGCCCGGAGGGAGAGUACCCGCAGAAUAAGCAUCGGCUAACUCCGUGCCAGCAGCCGCGGUAAUACGGAGGAUGCGAGCGUUAUCCGGAUUUAUUGGGUUUAAAGGGUGCGUAGGCGGAUUUUUAAGUCAGCGGUAAAAUGUCCGGGCUCAACCCGGGCCGGCCGUUGAAACUGGGGAUCUUGAGUGGGCGAGAAGUAUGCGGAAUGCGUGGUGUAGCGGUGAAAUGCAUAGAUAUCACGCAGAACUCCGAUUGCGAAGGCAGCAUACCGGCGCCCGACUGACGCUGAGGCACGAAAGCGUGGGGAUCGAACAGGAUUAGAUACCCUGGUAGUCCACGCAGUAAACGAUGAAUGC